rnacentral:lncRNA from 1 species
AAUUCUGCAUAUGAAAAUCCUGCUGUGAAGAUAACAAGUGUUGUUUCGAAGCUCGAACGGAAUUAAAAAACGCAUUCUAACGCAAUAAUUCUAGUUAAUGAUAAAUUUUGAAAAUAGUAUGUAGGUAUCAAUGAGAUCCUAAAAACAGCUUUUCUGAUGUAUAUCUUACAAAAAUCCUAGGGAAGUCGACUGAUUAUCUCCCUAGAAACAGUGACUGAUUUUCUUUUGUUUUCCGGGGACUUUAGCCGUGUCUAUCAUAUUUGAAGAGACAUUUUUCCAACAGACGGCUAAGAAAUUAGGAUCUCCUUCUAUGCUAUCAGAGUGGCGACUUAUCGCCGUAUUGCUAUCAAAGAAUAAAAUCUUUUUAUGUGUCGCCUGACGUAAUUUCUUUCGAUAUAAUUGAACCGCAGUGGAACUGAAUGAUGCGUUAUCACUAUAUCGAAAACCAAUGAAAAGUUUCCAACACGUUCCGUUGCAUAACAUCCCUCUUUUAUAAGUACAGAAUUAAAUUCGACGUCCUUCAUUUUCUCCCGAGUCUUUCAGUAAAGAUAAGUGUUUAGAGGGCGGAAUCAGGUCAUGUUUCCUGGAUUCAGUCCUCCAAAUCAUUUGAGUAAGCGCUACCAUUAUCCUCUCAUAGUGUGAAAAAAUUCAGCAAUGAGUCAAUACGCGGAUGUAGUAUGGUGGUUAGAUUCUGUAAGCAAUCAUUUAUUACUAAGAUCUGUAGUAACGUGAGGAUUCUACGUCCAGCAUUUACGAAGGCGCAAGAAACACAAUACAUUCGUCACCAACUUUCUGCGUUCGGUUACAGAGGCUGCGGUCAGAGGUCCCGAAAGGGGAGCAAAUUGGGGGAUGCGAAGCACGUGUUCGGGAAAAGGAGAGGGUGGUGCCGAAAAGGAAACAAACACAUCAAGCAUCAGUCGCAAUCUCAACCACCGCAAAAAGAUCGGAGGGCAUAAAUAAUACGAGGAUCUCGUAAGCACAAGUGCCGGAACGGAUGGAUGGAUUAUCUGUGAAGCCGCCGUGUUGCCGCUUUUAUCGGCGAAUUUCGACUUACAGGAGGGAUGCGCUGCAGAAUUUUUGUAAAUUCUAUAAAAAAUGUUGAAUGUUGAUUUAUACCCUAUGCACGCCAGGGAACGAAGAAAGAAAUAGUCACAAAAUAGAAUUAAAAAAAAAAAAAGUAAAGAUUUAAGCAUUUAUUUCUUCAGCCUUUUGAUUCAACCCUCGUGACUCCAUUCUGUGAAUUGCAGUAAUGGUCCAAAAUGAUUAGUAGUUAGAGUUGCAUCUCAAAUUGUACUACUUUAAAUCUCCACUCAUGUUG